rnacentral:tRNA from 1 species
GGUGGGCUCAGUUGGUAGAGUGCUUGCCUUGCAUGCAUAAGGCCCUGGGUUCAAUCCCCAGCACUG